rnacentral:rRNA from 1 species
GUAAGGAUGCGUAGGCUGGAAAUCAAGUCGAGAGUGAAAUCCAACGGCUCAACCGUUGAACUGCUCUCGAAACUGGUUACCUAGAAUAUGGGAGAGGUAGAUGGAAUUGGUGGUGUAGGGGUAAAAUCCGUAGAUAUCACCAGGAAUACCGAUUGCGAAGGCGAUCUACUGGAACAUUAUUGACGCUGAGGCAUGAAAGCGUGGGGAGCAAACAGGAUUAGAUACCCUGGUAGUCCACGCCCUAAACGAUGCACACUAGUUGUUGCGAUGCUAGUCAUUGCAGUAAUGCACUUAACAGAUUAAGUGUGCCGCCUGGGGAGUACGGUCGCAAGAUUAAAACUCAAAGGAAUAGACGGGGACCCGCACAAGCGGUGGAGCAUGUGGUUUAAUUCGAAGAUACACGAAGAACCUUACCUGGGCUUGAUAUCCUAAGAAUCCUGUAGAGAUAUGGGAGUGCUAGUUUACUAGAACUUAGAGACAGGUGCUGCACGGCUGUCGUCAGCUCGUGUCGUGAGAUGUUGGGUUAAGUCCCGCAACGAGCGCAACCCUCGUGAUUAGUUGCUAACAGUUCGGCUGAGCACUCUAAUCAGACUGCCUUCGCAAGGAGGAGGAAGGUGAGGACGACGUCAAGUCAUCAUGGCCCUUAUGCCCAGGGCUACACACGUGCUACAAUGGCUAGGACAAAGAGAAGCGAUACUGCGAAGUGGAGCAAUCUUAUAACCUAGUCUCAGUUCGGAUUGGAGUCUGCAACUCGACUCCUGAAGCUGGAAUCGCUAGUAAUCGUAGAUCAGAUAUG